GUGGGGAAUAUUGGUCAAUGGGGGAAACCCUGAACCAGCAACGCCGCGUGAAGGAAGAAGGCUUUCGGGUUGUAAACUUCUUUGACAGGGGACGAAAAAAAUGACGGUACCCUGAAAACAAGCCACGGCUAACUACGUGCCAGCAGCCGCGGUAAUACGUAGGUGGCGAGCGUUGUCCGGAUUUACUGGGUGUAAAGGGCGUGUAGGCGGGACGGUAAGUCAGAUGUGAAAUGUAGGGGCUCAACCCCUGAACUGCAUUUGAAACUAUCGUUCUUGAGUGAUGGAGAGGCAGGCGGAAUUCCGUGUGUAGCGGUGAAAUGCGUAGAUAUACGGAGGAACACCAGUGGCGAAGGCGGCCUGCUGGACAUUAACUGACGCUGAGGCGCGAAAGCGUGGGGAGCAAACAGGAUUAGAAACCCCGGUAGUCC
rnacentral:rRNA from 1 species